rnacentral:sRNA from 15 species
AACUUCCGUGACUUUUUUCAUUUUGCAAACCAUUAAUAGACAUACUGUAUAUGUACAUAGCUUUUAAGCUGUUUGUAUACGAUACAACGGCUGCAUGAGAGCAUGUGUACGUGUGAGGCAUACAAUCUCAUUUCACUCAACAUUCCUAUGCUGCACAGAAUAUCAACUCCAUUUAGCUUACGUUGGCACAAGCGAGAUAGCACAACUAAUUUAAUGACAAAGCAUGAAGCGAUACAGACAUAAAUGCUGCAUUUGCAGUCGCUGCAUCGUUUACAACCAGCUUUGUGGUGCGAUGACAUUAGACUUUGCUAACUGAAAAAACAGAGAUAUGUACAUAUCUUUAUAGGAAAACCAUACAGUGAGAGCGGUAUAAAUACAUACAUAUGUAUUAGCUUGGCUUUCCAGUUUAGCAAAGUCUAGUUUCAUAUGACUAUAAACACAAGACAGUGUAACCGUAGUGCAUUAACACCUGGUCACACCCUUACCCCUAGCAAAAUAUGUAGUACGACUUCUAGUCGGUGAAAAUUUUAUUCGAUCUGACUACUAGGUUUACAACACAAGCUUACCAAGCUGGCAAAAAAACAUUUGACUAGUGUCACAUGAGAAAAAUUCCUUUACUUCUACUGUUCCUGUCUGAGAGAGUGUGUGAAGGGAGAGAUCACGUUAUAUUUCAGUUUGAUAUCACUGGAAACAAACAAUUCGGUUGCUUUAGCUACAAGACCAUCGGAAAACUAGGCUUAAGCAAUUUUAUAUCGAUUUGGAUACUGACGCUGAUCUUACAUAACCCACCAUGCGAAAGCGGUGAUUUUUUAAUCUGAACGAUAUUAUUUUCGUUCAUGAAUCAUGAACUGGCUCACAUACAUACAAAUGUACGUAUUUAAAAUGAGAACACCACAUCAAUAGUGUCGACACAUACACAACAUGCUUUAUGACUCAUUACAAAGAAAGUAAUGUUAGUGAAAUCAAGAAAUGAUUAUUAUGUUGUGAAAUGGUUAAUCCAUUAGGUGUGGUGAACAUGUAAUGGUGUGGUAGCAGGUAAUGAAACAUUUAUUUUUAUUUUUUCCUAUACUGAUAGUCACUGACCAUUUUUGUUUGGAAAAAUCAAUGAACGACAAACAUGUCGCACAUAAAUUUAAAAGAAGAAAAUGGCGAAAUGUUAGUCCAAAUAAUAAUUUAGAAAAAAAUCGAAGUUUUGAUAGAAAAAUUUGCGGGGGCGGUGGCACUUGUGAAGCUACAAAUAAAAAAAGAGCCAAAAGUAGCAGAAAAUUACAUAAUCGACGACGGAGUUGGAGCAUUUCAACUCGAUAAUAACUCCGGAGCGCACCGAUUUCUUUACUAACAAAUUACGGAACGUAAUAGGGACGAGCCCAUCAAUGUCAAGAAGUUUAAAAAAUAUGGUGCACGAGAGGAUUAUUUUGGAGUAAAAUUUAUUUGGAACUUCGGGGAAGAGUUCCCUUGGAAGUUUCAAGGAAUUUUAUAAUGUCCUGGAAAAAAUACUUAAAAAAACAUAAUAAUUGAUUAAUUAAUCCAUAUUACUUCAGCGGCGGUG